CGAGAAGUGACGUAGGGGUAGCGUGUUCGCUUUGGGAGCGAAAAGUCAUAGGUUCGAAUCCUAUUUUCUCG
rnacentral:tRNA from 1 species